rnacentral:rRNA from 1 species
GACGAACGCUGGCGGCGUGCUUAACACAUGCAAGUCGAGCGAUGAAGCUUCUUCGGAAGUGGAUUAGCGGCAGACGGGUGAGUAACACGUGGGUAACCUGCCUUGUAGAGAGGAAUAGCCAUUCGAAAGGAUGAUUAAUACCUCAUAAUAUUGUAGCUUCGCAUGGAGCAACAAUCAAAGGAGCAAUCCGCUACAAGAUGGACCCGCGGCGCAUUAGCUAGUUGGUGAGGUAACGGCUCACCAAGGCGACGAUGCGUAGCCGACCUGAGAGGGUGAUCGGCCACAUUGGGACUGAGACACGGCCCAGACUCCUACGGGAGGCAGCAGUGGGGAAUAUUGCACAAUGGGGGAAACCCUGAUGCAGCAACGCCGCGUGAGUGAUGACGGUCUUCGGAUUGUAAAGCUCUGUCUUCAGGGACGAUAAUGACGGUACCUGAGGAGGAAGCCAUGGCUAACUACGUGCCAGCCGCCGCCGUAAUAC